AGAGUUUGAUCAUGGCUCAGAACGUACGCUGGCGGCACGCCUAACACAUGCAAGUCGAACGAAGUAGCAAUACUUAGUGGCAGACGGGUGAGUAACAUGUAGGUAUCUGCCCUUUGGCCUGGAAUAACACGAGGAAACUUGUGCUAAUACCGGAUAAGUCUUUACGGAGAAAGCUUUAUGCACCAUUGGAUGAGCCUGCACUUGAUUAGUUUGUUGGUGGGGUAAUGGCCUACCAAGACUGUGAUCAAUAGCUGAUUUGAGAGGAUGAUCAGCCACAUUGGGACUGAGACACGGCCCAAACUCCUACGGGAGGCAGCAGUGGGGAAUCUUGCACAAUGGAGGAAACUCUGAUGCAGCGAUGCCGCGUGAGUGAAGAAGGCCCUUGGGUUGUAAAGCUCUUUCGUCGGGGAAGAAAAUGACUGUACCCGAAUAAGAAGGUCCGGCUAACUUCGUGCCAGCAGCCGCGGUAAUACGAAGGGACCUAGCGUAGUUCGGAAUUACUGGGCUUAAAGAGUUCGUAGGUGGUUGAAAAAGUUAGUGGUGAAAUCCCAGAGCUUAACUCUGGAACUGCCAUUAAAACUUUUCAGCUAGAGUAUGAUAGAGGAAAGCAGAAUUUCUAGUGUAGAGGUGAAAUUCGUAGAUAUUAGAAAGAAUACCAAUUGCGAAGGCAGCUUUCUGGAUCAUUACUGACACUGAGGAACGAAAGCAUGGGUAGCGAAGAGGAUUAGAUACCCUCGUAGUCCAUGCCGUAAACGAUGUGUGUUAGACGUUGGAAAUUUAUUUUCAGUGUCGCAGGGAAACCGAUAAACACACCGCCUGGGGAGUACGACCGCAAGGUUAAAACUCAAAUGAAUUGACGGGGACCCGCA
rnacentral:rRNA from 1 species